ACGCCCCUUGGCGGCGAGCUCUGAGCCCUUUGCCGCAUUUGACACUCGACAUCCUCGUGCUUCUUAAAGCACUUGCCCAACGGUGAGCAACGGCCUCCAACGGUGCCCGAGGGACUCGCGCUGCCCGUUAAGCAGCUUUGCGGUGGCGGAGGCUGGGCUGCCGUCUCUCCGACAUCCCGGGACGGAGGAAGAGAUGAAGGCUCUGCAGCCCCCGCCGCCCGAUUUACGCUUGAGAAAGCGAAGGCGAGAGAGGUCGUCCAGCCCCUGGGGGCCCAGCCCUAGAGAGCGGGGCGCGGGCUGCGGGGCCCGGCGGCCUGGACGGCGGAGCGUUGAAAGCUCCCCCAGGGAUAGGAAGUGCAGCCGAAAUCAACGAUUGAGGUCAGUGAAGGAGCGGACGCUUGAGGCCUUGGAGGGGAAGCAGGUUUCUCCAGGAGGGAACCCGGGCCUCCGCUUUGCUCAGCGCUCCCCUCGCGAAUGUGUUGAGCACCUGUUAUGUGCUGGGGGUACAGAGGGUCUGAGCACCUCCCUCAUGCAGACAGAGCCCCGGCUCCCAUGUUCACCAUGCUGAGAAAGACCUGCGGGGGACAGCAGGAGGACAGCCGGGGAAUGGGCCCGCACUUGCCCAGAGUCCCUGAUGGUGUCGUCUUGGGAGUGGAGGAACCUGAGGGAAAAGCCCAGGGACGAGUCAGGGGAGAGCUCUGCCCUGGUGCUCUUGCACGUAUCCACAUGGGCCACAGCUGCACCCGGCUCUCAGCAGAGGGCAUCGCCAUGCUCCUGGGCACAGCCGGGCCCUCUCGCCUCCCUGCGGCUCCUGAUGCCUCCCAGGCUCCGCUGAGGUCACCUUGGGCACUUAGCGUGGCUGCAGCUCUUUGCAGCCCCGUGUCCUGUCAUCCAUGUGGCCGUCAUGUGGUCACUUUUGGGCAUUGCCCUGCGCAAGGUCCAUGGGGACUGGGCACCUUUGGCCAUUCUUUCUUUGGUUGUCUGUGCAAGUAAUAAACUAAAUCUGAAAA
rnacentral:lncRNA from 1 species